rnacentral:rRNA from 1 species
GGGCCCGCACAAGCGGUGGAGCAUGUGGUUUAAUUCGAUGCAACGCGAAGAACCUUACCAAGACUUGACAUCCAGAGAAUUCGCUAGAGAUAGCUUAGUGCCUUCGGGAACUCUGAGACAGGUGCUGCAUGGCUGUCGUCAGCUCGUGUUGUGAAAUGUUGGUUAAGUCCCGUAACGAGCGCAACCCUUGUCCUUAGUUGCCAUCAGUUCGGCUGGGAACUCUAAGGAGACUGCCGGUGACAAACCGGAGGAAGGUGGGGACGACGUCAAGUCAUCAUGGCCCUUACGUCUUGGCUACACACGUGCUACAAUGGUCAGUACAAAGGGUUGCCAAGCCGCGAGGUG